GAAUUGCCAUUGAUACUGUUGUUCUUGAGUUAUUGUGAAGUGGUUAGAAUGAGUAGUGUAGCGGUGAAAUGCAUAGAUAUUACUCAGAAUACCGAUUGCGAAGGCAGAUCACUAACAAUGAACUGACGCCGAUGGACGAAAGCGUAGGUAGCGAACAGGAUUAGAUACCCUGGUAGUCUACGCCGUAAACGAUGGUUACUAGCUGUUCGGGUUAAUUGAGACCUGAGUGGCUAAGCGAAAGUGAUAAGUAACCCACCUGGGGAGUACGUUCGCAAGAAUGAAACUCAAAGGAAUUGACGGGGGCCCGCACAAGCGGUGGAGCAUGUGGUUUAAUUCGAUGAUACGCGAGGAACCUUACCAGGGCUUAAAUGCAGUUUGACAGAGGUGGAAACAC
rnacentral:rRNA from 1 species